rnacentral:rRNA from 1 species
UAGGGGUGAAAGGCCUGUCAAAAUAUUUGAUAACUUGAUUGAAAAGAAAUAUUUUAAGAAUAAUAGACAAUUAAUUAAUGCUAAGGUUGAUUAAUAAAACAAAUGUUGUUUUUUUAACUUUUACAUCGUUUAGUUACUUGUAAAAUCGUUGAAUUAAUAUAUAAAGCAAUACAUAUUGUUACACCUAUUUUCAAACUUUGAUAAAUUUUUGUUAGAUUUUAAUAUGUUGUUAUUAGUAGCCUUUUAGUUUUAAAUAAGGAACUCGGCAAGUAGUCUGGUCAACUGUUUAACAAAAACAUAGCCACAUUGUAUUAUAUAUGUGGUAAUUUCUGCUCAAUGAAUGUGUUAAAUAGCCGCAGUACCCUGACUGUGCAAAGGUAGCAUAAUCAUUUGGCUCAUAAUUGGAGUCUAGUAUGAAUGAAUUUAUGGCUAGAAACUGUCUCAUUUAAAGUUUAUUGAACUUACUAAGUGAGUGCAAAUACUCACAUUAUUACGAAAGACGAGAAGACCCUAGAAAUUUUUAAUUAAUUUAUUUUAUUAAUUUAAUAAAGCGUUUUUGUUGGGGCGACAUAAUAACAUAUAACUUAUUAUAAAUAUAAGAACUUUGUAUUGAGUAAAUUAAAAUUACUCUAGGGAUAACAGCAUAAUUUACAAAAGUUUGUGACCUCGAUGUUGGAUUAGGGACUGUAUUAUUCAAAAGAAAAUACGAUUUGUUCUGUUCGAAC